rnacentral:misc_RNA from 1 species
UAGCGCGCACCCAGUGAGACACUGAGA